rnacentral:rRNA from 1 species
GAUGAACGCUGGCGGCGUGCUUAACACAUGCAAGUCGAACGAAGCACCUUAUUCUGAUUUCUUCGGAAUGAAAAAUUUGGUGACUGAGUGGCGGACGGGUGAGUAACGCGUGGGUAACCUGCCUCAUACAGGGGGAUAACAGUUAGAAAUGACUGCUAAUACCGCAUAAGACCACAGCACCGCAUGGUGCAGGGGUAAGAACUCCGGUGGUAUGAGAUGGACCCGCGUCUGAUUAGGUAGUUGGUGGGGUAACGGCCUACCAAGCCGACGAUCAGGAGCCGACCUGAGAGGGUGACCGGCCACAUUGGGACUGAGACACGGCCCAAACUCCUACGGGAGGCAGCAGUGGGGAAUAUUGCACAAUGGGGGAAACCCUGAUGCAGCGACGCCGCGUGGGCGAUGAAGUAUUUCGGUAUGUAAAGCUCUAUCAGCAGGGAAGAAAAUGACGGUACCUGACUAAGAAGCACCGGCUAAAUACGUGCCAGCCGCCGCAGUAA